rnacentral:rRNA from 1 species
AUUGCCCUAGUAACGGCGAGUGAAGCGGCAACAGCUCAAAUUUGAAAUCUGGCCCUCGGGUCCGAGUUGUAAUUUGUAGAGGAUGCUUUUGGUGCGGUGCCUUCCGAGUUCCCUGGAACGGGACGCCAUAGAGGGUGAGAGCCCCGUCUGGUUGGACACCAAUCCUCUGUAAAGCUCCUUCGACGAGUCGAGUAGUUUGGGAAUGCUGCUCUAAAUGGGAGGUAUAUGUCUUCUAAAGCUAAAUACCGGCCAGAGACCGAUAGCGCACAAGUAGAGUGAUCGAAAGAUGAAAAGCACUUUGAAAAGAGAGUUAAAAAGUACGUGAAAUUGUUGAAAGGGAAGCGCUUAUGACCAGACUUGGGCUUGGUAGAUCAACCUGGGUUCUCCCUGGUGCACUCUUCCUCGUCCAGGCCAGCAUCAGUUCGCUGCGGGGGAUAAAGGUUUCGGGAAUGUGGCUCCCUCGGGAGUGUUAUAGCCCGUUGCGUAAUACCCUGCGGUGGACUGAGGUUCGCGUUCUGCAAGGAUGCUGGCGUAAUGGUCAUCAGCGACCCGUCUUGAAACACGGACCAAGGAGUCGUCUUCGUAUGCGAGUGUUCGGGUGUUAAACCCCUACGCGUAAUGAAAGUGAACGCAGGUGAGAGCUUCGGCGCAUCAUCGACCGAUCCUGAUGUUCUCGGAUGGAUUUGAGUAAGAGCAUACGGGGCCGGACCCGAAAGAAGGUGAACUAUGCCUGUAUAGGGUGAAGCCAGAGGAAACUCUGGUGGAGGCUCGCAGCGGUUCUGACGUGCAAAUCGAUCGUCAAAUAUGGGCAUGGGGGCGAAAGACUAAU